rnacentral:rRNA from 1 species
UGACAAAUUCGACCUCAAAUCAGGUAG